GGCGGACGGGUGAGUAUCGCGUGAGAAUCUGCCCUUUAGUGAGGAAUACCUUCGAGAAAUCGAAGAUAAUACCGCAUAAGUCCCUUCGGGGAGAAAGAUGGCCUCUUGCUGUCGCUAAAGGAUGAGCUUGCGUACUAUUAGCUAGUUGGUGAGGUAAAGGCUCACCAAGGCGAUGAUGGUUAGCCGGCCUGAGAGGGUGUACGGCCACACUGGAACUUAGACACGGUCCAGACUCCUACGGGAGGCAGCAGUGAGGAAUAUUGCGCAAUGGGCGAAAGCCUGACGCAGCGACGCCGCGUGGAGGAUGACGGUCUUAGGAUUGUAACUCCUGUUAAGCGGGAAGAAAAGUCCCUAUCUAAUAAAUAGGGAAAAUGACGGUACCGCUAGAGAAAGCACCGGCUAACUUCGUGCCAGCAGCCGCGGUAAUACGAAGGGUGCGAACGUUAUUCGGAAUCAUUGGGCGUAAAGGGUGCGUAGACGGCAUAGAAAGUUGGUUGUUAAAUCCCCCGGCCUAACCGGGGACCAGCAAUCAAAACUCCUAAGCUAGA
rnacentral:rRNA from 1 species